AUGUUCACCGUGUUCUCUGGAUGCCAGUGAACCUUUGGUCCAGAUCUAUCAUUGGUGAUGUUCACCGUGAUCUCUGGAUGUCAACGGACUUUAACUCCCAUCAUCGUCUUAUCAUCCCACCGAACCUCAACAUAAUCGAUCUGUGUGCCAAGCUUGGUCCAGAUCCAUCAUUGGUGAGGUUCGCAGUGUUCUCUGGAUGCCAGUGAACCUUUGGCCCAGAUCUGUCAUUGGUGAUGUUCACCGUGAUCUCUGGAUGUCAACGGACUUUAACUCCCAUCGUCGUCUGUCAUUACCCCACCAAACUUCACCAUGAUGGAUCUGUAUGCUAAACUUGGUCCAGAUCCAUCAUUGAUGAAGUUCACUGUGUUCUCUGGAUGCCAGUGGACCUUUGGUCCAGAUCCAUCAUUGGUGACGUUCACCGUGUUCUCUGAUCCAUUUUUGAUGGCAUUCACGGGGAUCUCUAGAUAACGUCUCGCUUUGUUUUCCUCCUUUUUCCAAAGGCCUCAGUUGGGAGGCAAAGCCCCAGGGUCGUAUCCUACCCUGCCCACAACCUAUGUCCUGGGAGACCCAGCCUUCAUACCACGGCAGUGGUUUCUAUGGGCUCAGCUGACCACCGCUUCAACCUGGCUGAGAUCCUGUCGCAGAACUACGGGGUGCGGGAAGAGACGGAAGAGGAGGAGGAAGAGGCGGAGGAGGAGCACCACCACCAGGACCACGAGCAGGGGAAAGCCAAGCCUUUCGACGAGCUAGAGAAGAGCUUCCAUGCCGCCCAGAACGCGGAAAUGCCCUUUGAGGAAUUGCUGGCGCUCUAUGGCUACGAGGCCUCCGACCCCAUCUCUUCGGAGCAGGAGAGCGAGAGCAACGAUGCUGCCCCGAACCUCCCGGACAUGACCUUGGACAAGGUACACGAUCAGGCGUAAAAAAUUGAUAGCAAUAAACCACACCACGGAUUUGUGUAAACGUCUACAACGGUCACUAGGUGGCGUUCGAGAAACUUUUAGCAUGACCCCAACGCCGAGCGAAGGGGACCUUAUGGGUGUAAUUUUUUAUAAUUAUGAGCUUUUAUUAUGUACUAGCUUGGGGACCCGGCGGUGCCCGGGUCAUUUGAGAAAGGCAUUGUUUGCCCAUGUUCCAAGUUUAGUCUCGAUCCAGUGUUAGCAGGGUUCAGUUGGUAUGGGGAACUACAACUCCCAUAUGCAAGUCCCAUCGUCCAUGGUCCAUCCUCCUCCAAACACUGCCAGGAUGUAAAGUAGGUCAUGGGGACUCUAUGUGUCAAGUUUGGUCUUGAUCAGACAUUGGUGGUGGUCGCAGUGGUCUCGGGAAGUGAGGGAAGAUACUGCAAGUCCCAUCAUCCAUGGUCCAAACUCUUCCA
rnacentral:lncRNA from 11 species